UGAGAAAAAACCUCUCAAAAAAUAGAGAGAAAGAGUGUGCUGUAGCAACUCAUUUGUAAUCCUGAAAUUUUAUUAGUAAAAUCUCAUAUUUCUCCAAUCUCUAUCCUUCUACAUCCAACAGUUCCUUCAAUUUGAUUAUUUGAGAUUUAGCAUGCUGAUUGUUUCUUGGACAUAACACUUUAAGAACGUUAUAUCUAUUAGUCUGUUGACAAAUCAAGACUCGCAAGUCACCGUACUCUCAUCAGCAUUGCCAGCUGCUAGAAGUUCCAUAUACAUAUUUUUAGUCGGAUUGCAUAAAACGGUUGGGUUAUUAUGGGAGGCACAGACAAACGAAGGAAGCCAUUAAACAAAUCCACUGUAAUGAUCAUGUGAUUCUUGGUAUCCAGGUUAAUGUUUAGCUUACUCUUAGUAUUUCUGUUAUAGAAACAAUUGCUUGGGCAUCAACGUUGUGCAAAGGAAUCUUCAAUUUGGUAUCAAGCAUCAGAUUCAAUCACAUUGUUUAUAGAUGGUUUGAUAAAGUCAAGAAUUCUUGAAAUUCAUCCAACGUCCAAGGUUUGGACUAGAAUGCUUAUUUUUGAAUGUGCAAAGUGAUGCUUGGCAAAGUAAAGGCUAGAAAUUAGUUUGUGCCAAGUUUUGCACACAUACUUGCACAUUACAAUCCCUUUAAUGGACAGAUAUAGCAGAAUUUCUAUAAUGAUGAACUCCAGCAAAUCUAUUAUGGGCGUUCUUGUUAUGCCAAUUAUUAGGUGAAAUCUAGACAAGCAACAAAAAGUAGAACUGUUAGCAACAAUAGACUACUAUUUUACAGCACAAAGUAAAAACAUGUGGAAGUCUACUUUUAAAUCUAUGCAAAUAUAGGAAACUAAAGGAAAA
rnacentral:lncRNA from 1 species